CACCAUGGUAACCCCUAGUGGUAGAAGGAGCUGCCAAUUGCUCACUGCUCAGGUUCCAGGGGAUUUCUUCCUCAGUUGAAUAAGAAGGAGUUAAGCCUCUUUAGAAACGAGGGCUAUAGCCUGUCAGUAACUAAAUUUAUUCCUGCUUUUAACAUAUCAGAAUUCUGAUGUCCAGAAAAUGUAGAUGCCAGCAUUAUUUAAAAACUGAGUAGAGAAGUGAAUGGAAAUUUUGACCCACUCCGGCUUCCAUCUAUCAUGGGAGCCUAUAACGCGGAAUGAACGAAGAAGGAUUUAAAAUAGAAGAUCAGUGAUUGCUCUAUUAAUCUAGUUUAACUGAUACUAAAGUCUGACAGAGCGAAUUACAAGUUGCAGGCGGUACAGACUUGGAGUGGAUCAUAACUGGAAUUGGAGGCAGAGAUCUUACCUCUUGUAAUUUUAAGACUGCUAAUCGAGGAGUCUUUUGAGUUACUGGAUUAUCUGCUUGCCCUUAUUGCCUAACUCUGGAAAUGACAAAACCUGCGGUCCUGAAGGGUUACUCGGCCCUCAGGUGAUUACCGAUUUGGAGUUUGUUGCUGAACUGAAUUCAUGAUGAAGAUCCUGCAAUUUGGUGACCUCCUUUUUGAUGCUCACUGCUUAUCUGAAUCUUCAAAACCAGGACUGACCAGGACAGAUUGGCCUGUGACAACUGGUGCAUGGUGGAGAGUAGAACAACUCUGAAGAAGAGGUCCCAAAGGAAACUCCAGUCACUUUUGUAACUUUUCUCUGGGAAGCCUUGCUGGAAAAUUCACGUCAUUCAUUCCAAGGUUGCCAAAAGCACUACAAUUGAUUGAUUUCCAGAAGAAAAAUCAGUAGUUACUAGCUAAUUAUGACAACAAAUACUUCUCUGUAUAUCUAAUGUAUUUGAAUGAUUUAAAAUAAAGAGUUGAAUCUCCAACAUUUUCUGAAAGCCCAGCCAAAAGUUCUAUCCCACAAUUGUUAAAACAUUUAUUCCAUUUUGUGACUAGGUAAUGAAUUCCUGUGAAUCAUGAAUCUAAGCCACAGGAAAUAGUACACAGGACAAAAUAUUAUUCUCACACUUGCCUCCAUGCUUCCCAUUUCCCACCCUCACCAAAACCACAUUGAUUGGCAUCUGUGUGUCCUUGUAAAAUUUCCUUCUGGAAAUACAAACGAAUACGACCAUACAUAUAUUCUUAUUCUCCACCUUCUUUAAAAAAAUUCAAUGAUUUACCAAUAUUAUGGGCCUUACAUUUUUCACUUAAAGUUAGGGGGGCAUUAUAUCAGUAAA